UCGAAAUUGUAAAAAGAUUAAAAAAAGGAAUUUUUAAAAAGCCCGCGCGUCGCGAUUCUGAAAAUGCAGAGGUCACGAUUGGUUGUUGCGCAAUGGCUGUGACGUCAUAAAGGAGACUGACUAAGUCUGGUACCCAUACAACUCACGCACGCUACGCAAGCCCCACAUGUAAUGUGCGCGUGCAUUAUUUCAUUUAUUGUCCGCUGAUUCUUUCUUCGACGAAGUAAACAUGUCAGACUCUGAAAACUCCGGUGACGAAUUUUGAGAAGAAAUCAGUGUAGAUUCUGAUGGUUCCAGUGAAGGAUCUGAAAGUACCUCAGGGGGAUCGGGAGACAGCGAUGACGUUGAGCCAGACGAUGAGGAUGAGGUGGUUCGUGGGGCUGAACCAUAUAGAUUCGAGCCACUGGCAAGACCACGCCAACAGCAAGGUGACGCUGCUGCUGCUGACGACGCCGACCCCGAUGAAGAACAAGAUGGGAAUGACCAAGCUGCCAACAACGAACGAUUGAACAAUACCGACUGGUGUUCCUGUGGUAAAUGUGUGGUGAUGGAGUUCGUUCAUAACUGCAUUUGCUGUAAAGAGAUUGCAGCCAUACAGGAGAAAAUCGUUCAUACUGGAGUCGACACUGAGGGUUUCAGAUGUUUUACAGACCAUCCCUGGUAUUCGGCUACAUGUCUGAACCCCGGAACACUAGAGACAGCGUACUAUGCGUACCGACAACAGUAUGGGGCUAGAGCUGUUGAAGGUGACCUUCCACGAAAGUACAGACAUGUGUCUUAU